rnacentral:rRNA from 1 species
CAGUCGCCGCGUAAUACGUAGGGUGCAAGCGUUAAUCGGAAUUACUGGGCGUAAAGCGUGCGCAGGCGGUUAUAUAAGACAGAUGUGAAAUCCCCGGGCUCAACCUGGGAACUGCAUUUGUGACUGUAUAGCUAGAGUACGGCAGAGGGGGAUGGAAUUCCGCGUGUAGCAGUGAAAUGCGUAGAUAUGCGGAGGAACACCGAUGGCGAAGGCAAUCCCCUGGGCCUGUACUGACGCUCAUGCACGAAAGCGUGGGGAGCAAACAGGAUUAGAUACCCGCGUAGUCCCUGUCUCUUAUACA